rnacentral:rRNA from 1 species
CGGGUGAGUAAUGCCUAGGAAUCUGCCUGGUAGUGGGGGACAACGUUUCGAAAGGAACGCUAAUACCGCAUACGUCCUACGGGAGAAAGCAGGGGACCUUCGGGCCUUGCGCUAUCAGAUGAGCCUAGGUCGGAUUAGCUAGUUGGUGAGGUAAUGGCUCACCAAGGCGACGAUCCGUAACUGGUCUGAGAGGAUGAUCAGUCACACUGGAACUGAGACACGGUCCAGACUCCUACGGGAGGCAGCAGUGGGGAAUAUUGGACAAUGGGCGAAAGCCUGAUCCAGCCAUGCCGCGUGUGUGAAGAAGGUCUUCGGAUUGUAAAGCACUUUAAGUUGGGAGGAAGGGCAGUAAGUUAAUACCUUGCUGUUUUGACGUUACCGACAGAAUAAGCACCGGCUAACUCUGUGCCAGCAGCCGCGGUAAUACAGAGGGUGCAAGCGUUAAUCGGAAUUACUGGGCGUAAAGCGCGCGUAGGUGGUUCGUUAAGUUGGAUGUGAAAGCCCCGGGCUCAACCUGGGAACUGCAUCCAAAACUGGCGAGCUAGAGUACGGUAGAGGGUGGUGGAAUUUCCUGUGUAGCGGUGAAAUGCGUACAUAUAGGAAGGAACACCCUGGCGAAGGCGACCACCUGGACUGAUACUGACACUGAG